AGGACGAACGCUGGCGGCGUGCUUAACACAUGCAAGUCGAACGGAAAGGCCCUUUCGGGGGUACUCGAGUGGCGAACGGGUGAGUAACACGUGGGUGAUCUGCCCCUGACUCUGGGAUAAGCCUGGGAAACUGGGUCUAAUACCGGAUAUGACCUCCUGCUUCAUGGUGGGUGGUGGAAAGUUUUUCGGUCAGGGAUGGGCCCGCGGCCUAUCAGCUUGUUGGUGGGGUAAUGGCCUACCAAGGCGACGACGGGUAGCCGACCUGAGAGGGUGAUCGGCCACACUGGGACUGAGACACGGCCCAGACUCCUACGGGAGGCAGCAGUGGGGAAUAUUGCACAAUGGGCGCAAGCCUGAUGCAGCGACGCCGCGUGAGGGAUGACGGCCUUCGGGUUGUAAACCUCUUUCGCCAGGGACGAAGCGUGAGUGACGGUACCUGGAGAAGAAGCACCGGCCAACUACGUGCCAGCAGCCGCGGUAAUACGUAGGGUGCGAGCGUUGUCCGGAAUUACUGGGCGUAAAGAGCUCGUAGGCGGUUUGUCGCGUCGUCUGUGAAAUUCUGCAACUCAAUUGCAGGCGUGCAGGCGAUACGGGCAGACUUGAGUACUACAGGGGAGACUGGAAUUCCUGGUGUAGCGGUGAAAUGCGCAGAUAUCAGGAGGAACACCGGUGGCGAAGGCGGGUCUCUGGGUAGUAACUGACGCUGAGGAGCGAAAGCGUGGGGAGCGAACAGGAUUAGAUACCCUGGUAGUCCACGCCGUAAACGGUGGGUACU
rnacentral:rRNA from 1 species